AGGCAAAAUUUCGUGCCAGCAGCAGCGGUUAUACGCAAUUAUAAAUUAAUUUUUUCUGAAUAAAUGAAUUUACCAUACUUUUUCAAAAAAUGAAAUUUCAAAAAAAAAUAAUAAUAAAAUCUUUCUAAUUAAAGAUCUAAACCAGGUAUUAGAUACCCUGUUAUACUUAAAUUAUAUAAUAAUUCAAAGAAUUUCCAACAAAAUAAAUUUGACGGUAUUAACUUUUACAAAGGAAUUUGUUUCUUAAUCGACAAUCCACGAACCUAUCUUACUUAAUAUUUUUCUGUAUACCACCGUAUAUGAAAUUAUUCAAAAUAAAUUUCAAAAAAGAUCUCAAAUCUAAAAAAUCAGGUCAAGGUGCAAUUUUAUUAAGAAGAAAUGAAUUACAUUAACUUAUAUUUACCUAUAAUAGCUGAAACUCUAUUAAAAACAGAAUUUGUCAGUAAAAUUUUAUCAUCAUGAUAUUUUGAAAACUACCAUUAAUAUGUACAUAUCGCCCGUCAUUCUUGUUUAUUUUAAAAAUCAAGAUAAGUCGUAACAUAGUAGGUGUAAUGGAAAUUAGAUCUCCUUAGUUUAAAAUUAAAUUUAGAAUUUAAUAUUUUAA
rnacentral:rRNA from 1 species